rnacentral:precursor_RNA from 1 species
CCCAGGUAUGUGUAGGUAUCCACUUCUUCCAGAGUUUCUCCAUCAAGUUCAAUCGGGUCGAUGCUCUGUGUUGAAUUUGGGUAUCUUGCUCUGGU